rnacentral:rRNA from 1 species
GACUGCGAGUCGAGCGUCUCUAGCUAUGUUGAGGCGCGGCAUACGGCUCAGUAACGCGUGGCUAACCUACCCUCAGGACGGAGACAACCCCGGGAAACUGGGACUAAUAUCCGAUAGGCGAGGAGGCCUGGAAUGGUUUCUCACCUAAAAGACUUUGAAAACAUGCUUUCAUUGUUGCCUGAGGAUGGGGCCGCGCCCGAUCAGGUUGUUGGUGAGGUAAUGGCUCACCAAGCCUAUAACCGGUACGGGCCGUGAGAGCGGUAGCCCGGAGAUGGGUACUGAGACAAGGACCCAGGCCCUACGGGGCGCAGCAGUCGCGAAAACUCCGCAAUGCACGAAAGUGUGACGGGGCUACCCCGAGUGCUCUCCGCUGAGGAAAGCUUUUCCCUGGUAUAACUAGCCAGGGGAAUAAGGAGAGGGCAAGACUGGUGUCAGCCGCCGCGGUAAUACCAGCUCUCCGAGUGGUAGGGAUGAUUAUUGGGCUUAAAGCGUCCGUAGCCGGCUUAGCAAGUCUCCUGUUAAACUCAGCGACUUAAUCGUUGAAUCGCGGGAGAUACUACUAGGCUAGGAGGCGGGAGAGGUCGACGGUACUUCCGGGGUAGGGGUGAAAUCCUAUAAUCCCGGGAGGACCACCAGUGGCGAAGGCUGUCGACUAGAACGCGCUCGACGGUGAGGGACGAAAGCUGGGGGAGCGAACCGGAUUAGAUACCCGGGGUAGUCCCAGCUGUAAACGAUGCGGGCUAGGUGUUGGAAUGGCUACGUGCCAUUUCAGUGCCGCAGGGAAGCCAUUAAGCCCGCCGCCUGGGGAGUACGGCCGCAAGGCUGAAACUUAA